UACAGAGGUCUCAAGCGUUGUUCGGAUUCAUUGGGCGUAAAGGGUGCGUAGGCGGCGCGGUAAGUCGGGUGUGAAAUCUUGGAGCUUAACUCCGAAACUGCAUUCGAUACUGCCGUGCUUGAGGACUGGAGAGGAGACUGGAAUUUACGGUGUAGCGGUGAAAUGCGUAGAUAUCGUAAGGAAGACCGUGGCGAAGGCGG
rnacentral:rRNA from 1 species